GGAUUGGGGUUUUUGUGUCUGGCUGCGACAUCUGUCUCCCCAUUGAUCGCCAGGGUUGAUUCGGCUGAUCUGGCUGGGUAGGCGGGUGUCCCCUUCCUCCCUCACCGCUCCAUGUGCAUCCCUCCCAAAGCUGCACACUCAGUCAAAGAGGACGACCUCCCAGAUAGAGGAGUUACGUUCUUCGGUCAAGGGUUUACGGUAGCUGCGGCCCCCUGGUAGAACCUCCAAACGAGCUCAAGAGUUUGUGCACAUGUUGUUUAAUUAGCUGGUGACAACAGCUGCUUUCCUUUGUUUUCUUUCUCAGUUCUUCCCCGGAGCGGGGGUGAAAGGGCUU
rnacentral:snRNA from 1 species